UCAACACUGGAAACUAUUUUCCAGUUAUUGCAUAUGUAAACAGUAAGUGUGUUAUUUUACAGUUUGUUUACAGAUAGUUUCUUUUAUAGUUUGUACCAGUUUUUAUACAGUCCGUUACUUGUAAAUUUACAGUUUGCAUUUCUUUUCGAUGUAUCUGUACAAAUUUCUAUAAGAAUGAAAUAUUAAUGUUAUGCAAUUCAAAAUAGUGUUUAGUAUUAAACUAGGAGAUUUUAACCACACAAAGUGGUUAGUUAUCGAUAUAUCAAUCAUACCUUUCAUCUGCAUAAUUCUACUUUGUCUAAACUUUUAUAAAAUCUUACAAGAAAUACUAAAAUAUAACAGUUUAAUAUUCACAUACUUACUCUAAAUAAUAUAUAAUGUUUUCACUGUAGAUCCCGG
rnacentral:lncRNA from 1 species